GCUCGAGUGGCGAACGGGUGAGUAACACGUGAGUAACCUGCCCUUGACUUUGGGAUAACUUCAGGAAACUGGGGCUAAUACCGGAUAGGAGCUCCUGCUGCAUGGUGGGGGUCGGGAAAGUUUCGGCGGUUGGGGAUGGACUCGCGGCUUAUCAGCUUGUUGGUGGGGUAGUGGCUUACCAAGGCUUUGACGGGUAGCCGGCCUGAGAGGGUGACCGGCCACAUUGGGACUGAGAUACGGCCCAG
rnacentral:rRNA from 1 species